rnacentral:rRNA from 1 species
GGUCAUUAAAGGCGAAAGUCGCUUCCGGAGGGGCUUGCGGCCGAUUAGCUUGUUGGUGGGGUAACGGCCUACCAAGGCAACGAUCUGUAGCUGGUCUGAGAGGACGGUCAGCCACACGGGGACUGAGAUACGGCCCCGACUCCUACGGGAGGCAGCAGCUAGGAAUCUUGGGAAUGCGCGAAAGCGUGACCCAGCAACGCCGCGUGGGCGAUGAAGGCCUUCGGGUCGUAAAGCCCUUUUGCAGGGGAAGAUGAUGACGGUACCUUGCGAAUAAGCCACGGCUAACAACGUGCCAGCAGCCGCGGUAAUACGUAGGUGGCAAGCGUUGUCCGGAUUUACUGGGCGUAAAGGGCGUGCAGGCGGUCUGUUAAGUUCAGGGUGAAAGCUCCCGGCUCAACUGGGAGAGGUCCUUGGAUACAGGCAGACUCGAGGGAGGUAGAGGAGAGUGGAAUUCCCGGUGUAGUGGUGAUAUGCGUAGAUAUCGGGAGGAACACCAGUGGCGAAGGCGGCUCUCUGGGCCUUUCCUGACGCUGAGACGCGAAAGCGUGGGGAGCGAACCGGAUUAGAUACCCGGGUAGUCCACGCCGUAAACUAUGAACACUAGGUGUGGGGGGUAUCGACCCCCUCCGUGCCGAAGCUAACGCAAUAAGGGUUCCGCCUGGGGAGUACGGCCGCAAGGCUAA